rnacentral:rRNA from 1 species
GAUGAACGCUGGCGGCGUGCCUAAUACAUGCAAGUCGAGCGAACAGACGAGGAGCUUGCUCCUCUGACGUUAGCGGCGGACGGGUGAGUAACACGUGGAUAACCUACCUAUAAGACUGGGAUAACUUCGGGAAACCGGAGCUAAUACCGGAUAAUAUAUUGAACCGCAUGGUUCAAUAGUGAAAGACGGUUUUGCUGUCACUUAUAGAUGGAUCCGCGCCGCAUUAGCUAGUUGGUAAGGUAACGGCUUACCAAGGCAACGAUGCGUAGCCGACCUGAGAGGGUGAUCGGCCACACUGGAACUGGGACACGGUCCAGACUCCUACGGGAGGCAGCAGUAGGGAAUCUUCCGCAAUGGGCGAAAGCCUGACGGAGCAACGCCGCGUGAGUGAUGAAGGUCUUCGGAUCGUAAAACUCUGUUAUUAGGGAAGAACAAAUGUGUAAGUAACUAUGCACGUCUUGACGGUACCUAAUCAGAAAGCCACGGCUAACUACGUG